UUUAUGGAGAGUUUGAUCCUGGCUCAGGAUGAACGCUGGCGGCGUGCCUAAUACAUGCAAGUCGAGCGAACGGACGAGAAGCUUGCUUCUCUGAUGUUAGCGGCGGACGGGUGAGUAACACGUGGAUAACCUACCUAUAAGACUGGGAUAACUUCGGGAAACCGGAGCUAAUACCGGAUAAUAUUUUGAACCGCAUGGUUCAAAAGUGAAAGACGGUCUUGCUGUCACUUAUAGAUGGAUCCGCGCUGCAUUAGCUAGUUGGUAAGGUAACGGCUUACCAAGGCAACGAUGCAUAGCCGACCUGAGAGGGUGAUCGGCCACACUGGAACUGAGACACGGUCCAGACUCCUACGGGAGGCAGCAGUAGGGAAUCUUCCGCAAUGGGCGAAAGCCUGACGGAGCAACGCCGCGUGAGUGAUGAAGGUCUUCGGAUCGUAAAACUCUGUUAUUAGGGAAGAACAUAUGUGUAAGUAACUGUGCACAUCUUGACGGUACCUAAUCAGAAAGCCACGGCUAACUACGUGCCAGCAGCCGCGGUAAUACGUAGGUGGCAAGCGUUAUCCGGAAUUAUUGGGCGUAAAGCGCGCGUAGGCGGUUUUUUAAGUCUGAUGUGAAAGCCCACGGCUCAACCGUGGAGGGUCAUUGGAAACUGGAAAACUUGAGUGCAGAAGAGGAAAGUGGAAUUCCAUGUGUAGCGGUGAAAUGCGCAGAGAUAUGGAGGAACACCAGUGGCGAAGGCGACUUUCUGGUCUGUAACUGACGCUGAUGUGCGAAAGCGUGGGGAUCAAACAGGAUUAGAUACCCUGGUAGUCCACGCCGUAAACGAUGAGUGCUAAGUGUUAGGGGGUUUCCGCCCCUUAGUGCUGCAGCUAACGCAUUAAGCACUCCGCCUGGGGAGUACGACCGCAAGGUUGAAACUCAAAGGAAUUGACGGGACCCGCACAAGCGGUGGAGCAUGUGGUUUAAUUCGAAGCAACGCGAAGAACCUUACCAAAUCUUGACAUCCUUUGACAACUCUAGAGAUAGAGCCUUCCCCUUCGGGGGACAAAGUGACAGGUGGUGCAUGGUUGUCGUCAGCUCGUGUCGUGAGAUGUUGGGUUAAGUCCCGCAACGAGCGCAACCCUUAAGCUUAGUUGCCAUCAUUAAGUUGGGCACUCUAAGUUGACUGCCGGUGACAAACCGGAGGAAGGUGGGGAUGACGUCAAAUCAUCAUGCCCCUUAUGAUUUGGGCUACACACGUGCUACAAUGGACAAUACAAAGGGCAGCGAAACCGCGAGGUCAAGCAAAUCCCAUAAAGUUGUUCUCAGUUCGGAUUGUAGUCUGCAACUCGACUACAUGAAGCUGGAAUCGCUAGUAAUCGUAGAUCAGCAUGCUACGGUGAAUACGUUCCCGGGUCUUGUACACACCGCCCGUCACACCACGAGAGUUUGUAACACCCGAAGCCGGUGGAGUAACCUUUUAGGAGCUAGCCGUCGAAGGUGGGACAAAUGAUUGGGGUGAAGUCGUAACAAGGUAGCCGUAUCGGAAGGUGCGGCUGGAUCACCUCCUUUCU
rnacentral:rRNA from 1 species